GGCGUGGUUGAUACAUGCAAGUCGAACGGGAAAGGGGGUUUCGGCCUCCGAGUACAGUGGCGGACGGGUGAGUAACAUAUGAUCAAUCUGCCUUGGAGAUCGGGAUAGCCAUCCGAAAGGAUGGGUAAUACCGGAUAAGCCCACGGGGAGGCAUCUCUCUGCGGGAAAAGGAUGGGGAUCUUCGGACCUUUCGCUUCAAGAUGAGAUUAUAUCCUAUCAGUUAGUUGGCGGGGUAACGGCCCACCAAGACUUCGACGGGUAGCCGGCCUGAGAGGGUGGACGGCCACACUGGAACUGAGACACGGUCCAGACUCCUACGGGAGGCAGCAGUGCUGAAUUAUUCGCCAAUGCGCGAAAGCGUGACGGUGCGACGCCGCGUGCGGGACGAAGGCCUUCGGGUUGUAAACCGCUGUCAGGGUAUAGAAAACCUUUCGGGUUAAUAGUCCGAAAGCUGAU
rnacentral:rRNA from 1 species